CCUACGGGAGGCAGCAGUGGGGAAUAUUGGACAAUGGGGGCAACCCUGAUCCAGCCAUGCCGCGUGUGUGAAGAAGGCCCUCGGGUUGUAAAGCACUUUCAGUGAGGAAGAACGCCUGGUGGUUAAUACCCAUCAGGAAAGACAUCACUCACAGAAGAAGCACCGGCUAACUCCGUGCCAGCAGCCGCGGUAAUACGGAGGGUGCGAGCGUUAAUCGGAAUUACUGGGCGUAAAGCGCGCGUAGGUGGCUUGAUAAGCCGGUUGUGAAAGCCCCGGGCUCAACCUGGGAACGGCAUCCGGAACUGUCAAGCUAGAGUGCAGGAGAGGAAGGUAGAAUUCCCGGUGUAGCGGUGAAAUGCGUAGAGAUCGGGAGGAAUACCAGUGGCGAAGGCGGCCUUCUGGACUGACACUGACACUGAGGUGCGAAAGCGUGGGUAGCAAACAGGAUGAGAUACCCCUGUAGUC
rnacentral:rRNA from 1 species